GAAUGUUUGGUAGAAUUCACCAGCGAAGCUGUCUGGUCUCAGACUCUUAUUUUUUGGGAGGUUUUUGAUUACCGUUUCUAUUUCCUUACUUGUGAUUGGUCUAUUCAGAUUCUCCAUUUCUUCCUGAUUCAGUUUGGGGAGAUUGUAGGAGUCUAGGAAUUUGUCCAUUUCUUCCAGGUUGUUCAAUUUGUUGGCAUAUAGUUUUUCAUAGUAUUCUCUUAUGAUCUCUUGUAUUUCAUUGGUAUCUGUUGUGAUUUCUCCUCUGUCAUUCCUAAUUUUAUUAAUUUGCGAUUUCUCUCUUCUUUUCUUGGUGAGUCUGGCUAGGGGUUUGUCAAUUUUGUUAAUUCUUUCGAAGAACCAACUCUUUGUUUCAUUGAUCCUUUCUAUUGUCUUUUUUGUUUCAAUAUCGUUUAUUUCUGCUCUUAUUUUUAUUAUUUCCCUCCUUCUACUGACUCU
rnacentral:lncRNA from 1 species